GUGGAGACCAAGCUGAGUUUUCUGCCUUCUAGUAGGAAGUGGAGCUUGGGACUUCCCCUUUACCUCAGGCCCUGCUGAAUGGAGGUGCUUGCACUGCUCAGGCUUGUGAAAAAGGAAGAGCUGCGUGAUUCCUGUUCCCUGCCUCUUCUGACUUUGGCUGUGGUGGAGGCUGUGCAUCGGCUAGACCUCAUCCUUUGCAACAAAACUGCUUAUCAGGAAGUGUUUAAACCAGAGAACGUUAGCCUGAGGAACAAGCUGCGUGAGCUCUGUGUGAAGCUUAUGUUCUUGCACCCAGUAGACUAUGGGAGGAAGGCUGAGGAACUGCUGUGGAGAAAGGUAUACUAUGAAGUCAUCCAACUCAUCAAGACUAACAAAAAGCACAUCCACAGUCGGAGCACCUUGGAAUGUGCCUACA
rnacentral:lncRNA from 1 species